UACGUUGGGGGCAAGCGUUGUCCGGAAUCAUUGGGCGUAAAGAGCGUGUAGGCGGCCCGAUAAGUCCGCUGUGAAAGUCCAGGGCUCAACCCUGGGAUGCCGGUGGAUACUGUCGGGCUCGAGUCCGGAAGAGGAGUGUGGAAUUCCUGGUGUAGCGGUGAAAUGCGCAGAUAUCAGGAGGAACACCAAUGGCGAAGGCAGCACUCUGGGACGUGACUGACGCUGAGACGCGAAAGCGUGGGGAGCAAACAGG
rnacentral:rRNA from 1 species